CUCUUUAUGGAUCUUAACCUAGCUCAUUCUAUUGCCUGGUUAAUGAAUGGUUGUUUAUGCGAGUAAGGGAGGUUUAGUUGCUUAUAGGAGAGUAAGGUAUUUAGGAUGCUAACCUGGCUUCUGACUCUGUUCUAAGGUCUUUGGUAAAGUUUCCUAUUGGGAAGUGAACCUAGCUCUUUAGUGAGGUUUGGGUUAGUGGUUUAUAGGUGAGUAAGGGCGGUUUAGUAGGGAUGCUAACCUAUCUUUCUCGCUCUCGAUAACAAUGGUCAUUGAAUUGCCUGAGGGUUGAUUAAUAUUGAUUGUUCUAGGAGUCAGAUUGGUUGGUUAAGUAUCCGGUUAACCUUGCUUCUUACUCCUCUUAGUUGUCUUAACCAGGUUCAUUGAAUAGCCUCUAGGUUUCUUAAUGAAUGUAAGCUAUGAUCUAUGAGUUGCUUAUGCGAGUAAGGGCAGUUAACUCUCUUCUAAGGUGUCCCAGUUCAUUCUAUUGCCUUAAUGUUUAAUGUAUGGUUGUUAGCAGUCUGAAUUUUCCACGGUCAAAAUAUUUAAUCUUAGUUGCAUUGAGUCAAUUGGGGGGAAGAGCCACUCUUAGGUGUUCUGAGCCA
rnacentral:lncRNA from 1 species